rnacentral:rRNA from 1 species
GAUGAACGCUGGCGGCGUGCCUAACGCAUGCAAGUCGAACGAAGCACCUUUUAAGAUUCUUCGGAUGAUUGAUUGGUGACUGAGUGGCGGACGGGUGAGUAACGCGUGGGUAACCUGCCCUGUACAGGGGGAUAACAGUUGGAAACGGCUGCUAAUACCGCAUAAGCGCACGAGAGGACAUCCUCUUGUGGGAAAAACUCCGGUGGUACAGGAUGGGCCCGCGUCUGAUUAGCUGGUUGGCAGGGUAACGGCCUACCAAGGCGACGAUCAGUAGCCGGUCUGGGAGGAUGAACGGCCACAUUGGAACUGAGACACGGUCCAAACUCCUACGGGAGGCAGCAGUGGGGAAUAUUGCACAAUGGGGGAAACCCUGAUGCAGCAACGCCGCGUGAGUGAAGAAGUAUUUCGGUGUGUAAAGCUCUAUCAGCAGGGAAGAUAAUGACGGUACCUGACUAAGAAGCUCCGGCUAAAUACGUGCCAGCCGCCGCUGUAA